rnacentral:rRNA from 1 species
ACGGCCGCAAGGUUAAAACUCAAAUGAAUUGACGGGGGCCCGCACAAGCGGUGGAGCAUGUGGUUUAAUUCGAUGCAACGCGAAGAACCUUACCUACUCUUGACAUCCUAAGAAGAGCUCAGAGAUGGGCUUGUGCCUUCGGGAACUUAGAGACAGGUGCUGCAUGGCUGUCGUCAGCUCGUGUUGUGAAAUGUUGGGUUAAGUCCCGCAACGAGCGCAACCCUUAUCCUUUGUUGCCAGCGA